AAGGGAAGAAGGGGGGUGGGGGGGAGUCGGUGAGGAAGGGAAAGAAGAAGAGGGAGGAGGGGGUGAUGGAGGAGGUGGAGGCCGGAGGGGGCAGAAGCAGCAGAGGAGGGGAAGGACGGGCCCUCACCUGGACCGGGGAUGCUCAGCGUCCCUCUGUACACGCAUCGGAACCGACGGCAGAGCGCACGGACGCUCCCGCGGGCCAGAGCAGAGUGAAGGGCCACUUCCGGCCAGGCGGCGCUCUCACUUCCGGUGCUCCCAGAGGCUGCGCCCUGGGACACCGCUUCUAGAGAGGAGUGGUUCACACAGGCGCACGGGGUGGGGACAGACCUAGCAUCUGGGCCAGACCCCGUCACCGCACGGGCCUGAGAAACCAGCGAGGCUCGUUACAAGGCCAGGCGCCUCCACUUCCGCACCAUGUGCCCAUGGCAACCAGGAAGGCAGCGGAGAGGCCCUGGGGCGAUGAGGGGAGCUGCCGUAGAGACACAAUCCGCGCUGUCAUCACUAAGAAACAAUUUUCACAAAACUGCAAAAGGUCAGGAGAAACAUGGGGGCCAGCACCCCGGUUCCAGCAAGUGUGGAAAUCGCCGCAGGAAAAGCCUGCCACGUUCUGGGGUAGACCGAAGGCACCUGCAGAGCAGAGCGGCACUGCUGGGACACCCAGCCACCUCCCUCCUCCCCAGGCACUGUGUACUCCAGCUCCACAGCCCCUGAGCUACACCCAGGGCUUUCUUGGGCAAGAAGGUCAAAUGCUAAGCCUGCCAGGCACAUCACCACGGCCCUGCGGAGAGACAGCUCCACUUCCUGCCAGCCCAUCCUCCAGUGGUGCUUCUAUUCCACUGCAGUGUGUAGUCAUGGAGAUUUCGUCGGCACAAGAGACGCUCUUCCCAUUAUACACAUUUUUAAAGUUCACAAAUAUCCCAAGAAAUGAAUGA
rnacentral:lncRNA from 1 species